AUUGAACGCUGGCGGCAUGCCUAACACAUGCAAGUCGAGCGGAGCGGCGGACGGGUGAGUAAUGCAUAGGAAUCUGCCCGGUCGUGGGGGAUAACGUCCGUAAACGGGCGCUAAUAUCGCAUCCUUUCUGCUGACCCUAGGUGGGAUUAGCUAGUUGGUGGGGUAAAGGCGUACAAAGGCGACGAACCGUAACUGGUCUGAGAGGAUGAUCAGUCACACUGGAACUGAGACACGGUCCAGACUCCUACGGGAGGCAGCAGUGGGGAAUAUUGGGCAAUGGGCGAAAGCCUGACGCAGCCAUGCCGCGUGUGUGAAGAAGGUCUUCGGAUUGUAAAGCUCUGUAAGUUGGGAAGCGUUACCUACAGAGUAAGCACCGGCUAACUUCGUGCCAGCAGCCGCGGUAAUAC
rnacentral:rRNA from 1 species